rnacentral:misc_RNA from 1 species
AACGCACAUUGCGCCCGCCAGUAUUCUGGCGGGCAUGCCUGUCCGAGCGUCAUUUCAACCAUCAAGCUCCGCUUGGUGUUGGGGCCCCGCGGCUGCCGCGGGCCCCGUAAGGCAGUGGCGGGCUCGCCGGGGCUCCGAGCGCAGUAGCUUAACCUCGCUCGCGGCGCCCCCGGCUUGCGCCGGCCGUAAAACCCCCCACACGUACAAGGUUGACCUCGGAUCAGGUAGGAAUACCCGCUGAACUUAA